rnacentral:rRNA from 1 species
UACCAGCACCCCGAGUGGUCGGGACGAUUAUUGGGCCUAAAGCAUCCGUAGCCGGUUCUACAAGUCUUCCGUUAAAUCCACCUGCUUAACAGAUGGGCUGCGGAGGAUACUAUAGAGCUAGGAGGCGGGAGAGGCAAGCGGUACUUAGUGGGUAGGGGUAAAAUCCGUUGAUCCAUUGAAGACCACCAGUGGCGAAGGCGGCUUGCCAGAACGCACUCGACGGUGAGGGACGAAAGCUGGGGGAGCAAACCGG